AGUGCCGUACUUAUAUCUUUGAUAGUCUAACAAUCUUGUAUUCAUUGUUCCCCUCCAUGUUACCAACGCCAUAUUCUACUUCGCGCAGUUCGAGUUUGUACACUUGACCACAAAGUAACCAAAGCGAAACAGACGUCCAUUUUAUGUCCUGAAUGAUAGUUUUGUGAAAUUGCGUGCUUGAGAAACGUAUGCGGGAUUGAAAAGAAAUGCGACAGCACUUUUGUCGUCACCGGUCGUCAGUGUCCUGUUUGUCCCUGAACAAGCUAGUACGCACGAUUAACUAUCACAAAGUCUUGUGUUGAAGCGAUAUACGUUUAAUAAGUUCCAGUGCAGUAUCAAACACCAGGAUUGAAAAAUUAACAACAGUGUCCUGUUGCAAUGAAUACUUAUUUUCAGUUAGAUAGGCCCAGGGCACACCAAGGAAGCUGGCAACCGCAACGCAACUGCAAUAUCUGAGAAAUGUCGCCGAUUUCAAGCAGGCAACUGGUUUCCAGAUUACCAAGCGCACACUGAAGAAAUUUGUGUUUGAUUAGUUGCUCACAUCAUCUUAAGUAGAAAGUUUUCAUCCUCGCUAGCGCGAUCCAAAAGUUCCUGACAGAUGGCAACGCGACUGUUUCUCUGAUCCUGUGUCAGAAGUUGUGGGAACAUUAAGGAAAAUAACUUCCACGGUGCUUUUGUUGUGUGAAAAAAGAAUUAUGCGGUCGUUGUAUACGCUUCCAAGGAGGCAAUUCUGGAGAUGGCAGCUGAAAUUUAUUUUUUGGACUAGUCCAGAAAUUUUGCCCAACUCAGUUCAAAUGCCACAAACAGAUCCGUUACUACCUGCACUGCAAAAGCUUCACUUCACAUCCACUACUUUAUUAUCAGUUCUUUCUUUUCUUUAUUAUGUCCAUUCAAGAUCCUGCAAUGUCUCCAAACUGCUUGCUGUUUAUACAUAUACUGCAAAGCUGCCUUUGUACUUAAAUCACCAUGAAGGCAUAUGGGGGAGUGGAAACUAGCUCCACACAUUCUUAACCUUGGCGCUAAAGGAAGCAAGUGGUCAGCUUUAUAUCUUGGUUCCUUUAACUUCCUGGAAAAGGGCCCCUUAUACUUAUUGGAUAUGUGGCAAGCUGUUGUCUACACACAACCUAGUUGUAGUGAAAAGAAAAAUUCCUGCCCCUGACAGGAAUAAAACUCUCAGUUGUUCACUUGUACACUGCCUGAAUUAUUCAGGCUCCUGCCAUCUGUAACUGAAUUUUAAUACAAAUCUUACCAUCAUUAGGUGAA